AUACGGAGGAUCCGAGCGUUAUCCGGAUUUAUUGGGUUUAAAGGGUGCGCAGGCGGGAGAUUAAGUCGGCGGUGAAAUUUUGCAGCUCAACUGUAAAAGUGCCUUUGAAACUGGUUUCCUUGAGUGUAGAUGAAGGAGGCGGAAUUUGUGGUGUAGCGGUGAAAUGCAUAGAUAUCACGAGGAACUCCGAUUGCGCAGGCAGCUUACUAAACUACUACUGACGCUCAGGCACGAAGGCGUUGGGAUCAAACAGGAUUAGAUACCCUGGUAGUCCACGCAGUAAACGAUGAUUACUAGCUGUUUGCGAUACAAUGUAAGCGGCUGAGCGAGAGCGUUAAGUAAUCCACCUGGGGAGUACGUUCGCAAGAAUGAAACUCAAAUGAGUUGACGGGG
rnacentral:rRNA from 1 species